CCUGUAAAUUUGCCCCAACCACCAUUCUUGAUACAAAAAUCCUCCAACUAAAAUAGAACCUAGAAUCACCAAACAAAGAUCGCCUUUUCAAUUUCAAUGUUCUCUGACUUGUUAUCGAACAUAGAAAAGAAUUCAGACCGGGAAGAUCAAAGAACAAAUUAGGUUUCCUUUUUUGCAAAAACAAUCAAAAAUACCCAAUCAACAAGCAAUCAAAAAGAAAAUCAAAUUUGUACGAAAACCAUUACUGCAUAGCAACCGAUUUCAUGUAUGGUAUUCAAUUCAUACCAAAAGUUCAACAAAAAUUCGAAUAAAAAAAAUUCAUUGAAGAAACUGGAACGUCAAGUUCCCGUAAUUUUCAUGUUCUUCUUCCUAACCAUCACAAUCUUCAAGAAAAACAGGAGAAAAGGAAAGGAGCAUGAAAAAUGGUGAAGACGGUAUAUGUGAAAACUAAUCUUCAACAAAUAAUCAAUCAAUUGUUGGAUCUGUUUUUUUUAUCCGAAAAACUUUGAAGUAUCGAGGAGCAUGAAAAUGGUGACGAUGGUAUGGAUAGACUGUAAUAUCGAGGAACAUGGAAAUGGUGACGGUGAUAUCAACGGAGGUGAAAAUGGUGGUCUGGUAUGUGUGAUAUCAUGGAUGAUUAUGUUAGAGUGGAGUAUUGAAUUUUCUUCGAAAGAUUUUAACAAAAUCAAUAUACUACCGACAUGUGGUGCUGGUUGUGUUAACUGCGAUUAAUUGUGUUAGAUAAAUUUAAUUUAAUUCUAAAAA